rnacentral:rRNA from 1 species
UCGAGAAUCUUCGGCAAUGGACGAAAGUCUGACCGAGCGACGCCGCGUGCGGGAUGAAGGCCCUCGGGUUGUAAACCGCUGUCAGUUAGGAGGAAAUCCAUGAGGGUUCUCUCUCAUGGUUGACCGAUUUUCAGAGGAAGGACGGGCUAAGUUCGUGCCAGCAGCCGCGGUAAGACGAACCGUCCGAACGUUAUUCGGUAUCACUGGGCUUAAAGCGUGCGUAGGCGGCUUGGUAGGUGAGAUGUGAAAGCCCACGGCUCAACCGUGGAACUGCGUUUCAAACCCUCAAGCUCGAGGAAGAUAGGGGUGAUGGGAACUUAUGGUGGAGCGGUGAAAUGCGUUGAUAUCAUAGGGAACACCGGUGGCGAAAGCGCAUCACUGGAUCUUUUCUGACGCUGAGGCACGAAAGCUAGGGUAGCGAACGGGAUUAGAUACCCCUGUAGUCC